UCUCCCUCGUCUCUUCCCAUCCCCCUCCUCUUCCCUAUGCCGCCGCCACCACUUCCCCUACCCUCUCGGACGCCUCGUCUCUUCCACCUCUGCCUCCAUCACCUCCUCCCCUGCCUCCGCACCCGACCACGCGCUAUGGACGAGGACGAGGAGGCAACAGCUCGGGAGGCAGGCAAGAGGAAAACGGGAGGGAUCCCCUCCCGAGCCCCGCGCCUCCCCUCUUUCCCACUGCGCCGCCAGCCCCUUUCCCUCCCUUCGCCGCUGCUACAGCUCCUCCCUGAACCCACGGCGCGCCUUCUUCUCCGACCGUUGUUGCCCGCACUGCUACUGCCACGGCCUGCUACUGCUCCCCCUCCUCCAGCUCCUCGCCCCAGCGGCGCUUCCUCCCCUCCUCUCAGGCAAGGCGUCUUGGGGUGUGGAGGCGGUGGGGCAGCAGCCAGUCAUUGCCCUGCAGCGGCAGCAGCAGGUCGGCUUCCCCGUUGUGGCGGCGACGCGUCUAGAGGAACCGGUUGCCCUUCUCCUGGAUGAGCGUCGGAGCCGAACAGCCGGAACUGACCAUUGAGGAGCUGGGGCAGCCGUGCCACAUAGGAGGUCGAGGUGGACCAGGAGAAGCUGCACGAGGCUCCAUCGCCUCCUUCUCAAAUUUGGUUUCUCUAUGCCUACAUGGUGUUUGAUGAAAAUCCAAGAAGGACGGGGAGGAUUGAUCUAUGCGGAUAAGAGAAGAAAACUAAAACAUGUUCACUAGAGUGGCCUGGGGUGGCCCGGGAGCUACGAGGAUGGGUUGAUGAGACUGGAUUGGCAGCCGACAGCGAGAGAGGAAGGGUGGUUGUUCCUGCGAUGAGGUGGUGAUGAUUGCCAUAGUGGAAUUUUGUAGGUACGACAGCGACGAGCUUUGAGGGCCCCCGGUUUGGUGGCAGCAUGAGCCUCGUGGAGUGUUUUUGUUUCCCCACUUAGACUACUGUUUUGAUUCUCAAGUGUGGAGAUGGAUGUGACUUACCAUGGAGGAAGUGGGUACAAUAUCCAUUUGAAAGAUGCAGCAGGGCCAAAAUAAGUUUCCGGUGCAAUUGGAGCUGCAAGCCAGAUUGGUUUAUACAGCAAUGGAGUGAUUUGUACCCUGCAAAGUUCCCCUUUUGGUUCACUGACACGAUGCAAAAACAGUCCGAGACGGAGCUCAGGCCGAGGAUUCUCCCUCGCUCGAGGAUUCCAGUAACUAUGAGUUCUAGGCGAAGAUGUACGUUUCCUACAGACAUUUUCAGUUUGACGAGAGCUUUGCCAUUCAUCUUGAAAAAGUAUGUUCCGUUCUGUCUAGGAUAGAGAACCAUGAUUAUCACCACUGUUGGAGGAAAAAGCUAGAGCAAUUGUGUUUCUACUUUCAUGCAUUGUGGUUUUCUAUUCUUGGAAGGAUAGAGUUUACAUAUUUCGUAUGCCUAAAUAGUGAAGGUACUUUAUUUUCAUUUAACUGUUUCUAUGCUAUUCUCUCAUUGUCUGUGUUGUCUAAGAAAUUCUUCGAUUUGGAAAGUUGCCAUCUCUCAUUUUUUUUGUUUUACCGCUUUCUUGUGCUACAAUUUGUUAGGCAAAUUUAGCUUUCAAUUCAACAAUUUUCUUGUUUUCUAAAGCAUGGACUACUGUUGAAGUUCAGUAUAUCAAGUAAUAAUAGUGUGUUAAAAUGAAUAAUACACAUUGAGCUAUAUAUAUUUGCUGCAAUUUGGGGCUGCUGUUGUAAUGUGGUAUAUAUCCUCCCUUGUAUUACGUAAGGUUGAAGUGACUGUUUAAUAUUCUUCCGCUCAGCAGCACCAAGUACGUGUUUGCAGCCUUUCUGUGCUACAUGUGAGUUCAGUUUACUGCUAACUGCAGUUGUUUAUAGAUUAGUGUAUUUUGCUGUAGGUUAAAUGGAGUUAGUAAGACCUUAUUUGAUACUGAUCAUAAGAUACUAACGGGCUCCAUGUAAUCCCAAGUGCAUUGCACAACAAAUUGUCAUUUUGCAAGAUCUUCUAGAGAUACUUCAUUUUUGCUAAUGAAAAUGACUACUGACAAAGUUUUAAUAUGAUAAUUUUGCUGAUUUGAUACAUUAUCUUUCAAGUUAAUUCAGAGAUUUGAUGAUACGGUUUAGAGUACCAGCGGUGUUAUGUUCCACAGUCCACACUCUUUCCUUGAAGCAAUUUUAGAAAUAUUUGAAACUAUGAGCGACCAAUUUUCAAUUAUAUGGAAUGGAUUCCUAAAGAAAUCUAAUUAUUGAUGUUUUUUUAUGGUGGUACUAUGUUGCUGGUUUGAUUAAUGAUAAAUGCUUGAUGCAAUGAUCGAAAUGUUUUUGUUUCUGUUGUGUGUCCCCUCACGUGAUGAAAUAUUUAUUGUGGGGCGACUUAAUUGAUUAUUGUUCUCUUUAUCCCUUGAAAAGUGCUAUGUAACAAUACAAAUAUGCUUUCGUUCGCAGAGCUAUAUGUCCUAUGCUCCUCUUGAUGACAUAUAUGAGGACUCACAACCUGAGCCUGGAAUAUCACUCCAAUUUUAAGUUGCCUGUUUUGCAUAAAGGUUGGAUAUAUGGUGACAUGGUAAAGCUGAUUUGGGAAAGCGGGUGUAGAGUGUGCAUAAGUUAAGAAAACAAUUUAUAAUCUGUGAUGUGAUCAUUGCAUUUUAAUUUAGUAUAUGUGAUCACCUCAAGUAGGGAAGUACUGAAUGCACCUCUCUGUCAAGUGCAUGUAUCAGGGUACCAUUUUUUACUCAACCGAUUUAACACAGG